ACCUGCUCUUUGCUCACUUUCCCAGCCUACCCUCUCAUGCUGGGACACCAGGAGAAGAAAAUUCACCAAAGGGGAAUAAGAGAUAAGGUAUACACAAUCGGUUUAAUAGAGAACCUUCCAUGUUUGUUGAACUGUCCUUUCCCUGUUCCAGAAGGGACAAAUCAACAGUCUGAUGAUGAGAGGCUGGAAUGAAAGCGGUUCUCUGUUUCACUGACCACCUUUCGUGAUUGGAAUUUCAAUUUCUUUUUUUUUUUUUUAAUUUUUUAAAUGUUUUUAUUUAUUUUUGACAAAGAGAGAGCAUGAGUGGGGGGGGGGCAGAGAGAGAGGGAGACACAGAAUCCGAAGCAGGCUCCAGGCUCUGAGCUGUCAGCACAGAGCCCGAUGCGGGGCUAGAACUCAUGAACCACGAGAUCAUGACCUGAGCUGAAGUCUGACGCUUUACCGACGGCGCCACCCAGGUGCCCCUGGAAUUUCAAUUUCUUAAUAAUUUCUGUCACUGCUUGGCUGUGUCUAAAUAUUUAGACAGAUCUGUGCAGAGUGGAUUUGUCUCUUUGAUGUGUUACAUAUAUUUUUGUAUUCUGAUUGUCAGUCAGUGAGGAAACCACACCACAGAAAACAGAUGUGAUCUGACAGUCACCAACUGUGGCUCUCCCCUUUUUCCAGCAUACCCUGAGCAAGACUGGAUUCUGCCUUUGGACUACAGGCUCCUGGAGAACUCGACCACCUGACAUCUUCCUUCCAUAUUUGUUUUCUGUGAGGUCUUAGGCACAACUGGGGCUUCAAUUACUUUCCCAAACUCUGGCUGCCUUUCUACGAUCAAGUUCCUGUAAAGGCCCCACACAAUCUAUCCCUAAUCCAUCUGGCCAGCCUUACCUCCCAAUACAGCCCAUUCUUCUCUUUUCCUCGACCCCCACAUCCGUCCCCUCAGAAAUUCCUCCUGUCAUUCUGUGAAAUAUACCUCAUGACGACCCCUGCCAGUCUACCAAGAGAGUGCCAAGGCGCCUCAUUCUCCGCUGGAUGCUGCCGUCAUCCGGGAUUACAGCUGAUCUCAAGGCCUCCAGUCUACAUUCACGUGUGCUUUUUAAUAUAUCAGUAGAUGUGUCUACCUCAGAAACUUUCUCAGUGAAAAGGUCUUGUUUUUCUUCUUUAUUAGAUUUUGUCACAUACCGAACACAAUAAAUACAAUACAUAUAAUAAAGGACA
rnacentral:lncRNA from 1 species